rnacentral:rRNA from 1 species
AGAGUUUGAUCCUGGCUCAGAACGAACGCUGGCGGCAGGCUUAACACAUGCAAGUCGAGCGCCCCGCAAGGGGAGCGGCAGACGGUUGAGUAACGCGUGGGAACAUACCCUCCGGUUCGGAAUAGCUCAGGGAAACUUGGAUUAAUACCGGAUACGGCCUAGCGGCGAAAGAUUCAUCGCCGGAGGAUUGGCCCGCGUUCGAUUAGCUAGUUGGUGAGGUAACGGCUCACCAAGGCGACGAUCGAUAGCUGGUCUGAGAGGAUGAUCAGCCACAUUGGGACUGAGACACGGCCCAAACUCCUACGGGAGGCAGCAGUGGGGAAUAUUGGGCAAUGGGCGCAAGCCUGAUCCAGCCAUGCCGCGUGAGUGAUGACGGCCUUAGGGUUGUAAAGCUCUUUCGCUAGGGACGAUAAUGACGGUACCUAGACAAGAAGCCCCGGCUAACUUCGUGCCAGCAGCCGCGGUAAUACGAAGGGGGCUAGCGUUGUUCGGAAUUACUGGGCGUAAAGCGCGUGUAGGCGGGCUUUUAAGUCAGGGGUGAAAUGCCAAGGCUCAACCUUGGAACUGCCUUUGAUACUGGAAGUCUUGAGUCCGGGAGAGGUGAGUGGAACUGCGAGUGUAGAGGUG